rnacentral:misc_RNA from 1 species
GAUGAAGAACGUAGCGAAAUGCGAUACGUAAUGUGAAUUGCAGAAUUCAGUGAAUCAUCGAAUCUUUGAACGCAUAUUGCGCUCUCUGGUAUUCCGGAGAGCAUGCUUGUUUGAGUAUCAGUAAACACCUCAACUUCCAUAUCUUUUUUGAAAUGGGAGUUGGACUUGAGUGAUCCCAACGCUUUUCCUCACCGAAAAGUGGCGGGUUACUUGAAAUGCAGGUGCAGCUGGACUUUUCUCUGAGCUAUAAGCAUAUCUAUUUAGUCUGCCUAAAAAACAGAUUAUUACCUUUGCUGCAGCUAACAUAAAGGAGAUUAGUUCUUGUGCUGACUGAUGCAGGAUUCACAAAAACGGCUUCGGCCGACUUUGUAAACUCGAUCUCAAAUCAAGUAAGACUACCCGCUGAACUUAAGCAUAUCAAUAAGCGGAGG